AUUGAACGCUGGCGGCAGGCCUAACACAUGCAAGUCGAACGAGUCGCGGACGGGUGAGUAAUGUCUGGGACUCUGCCCGAUGGAGGGGGAUAACUACUGGAAACGGUAGCUAAUACCGCAUACCAUCGGAUGUGCCCAGAUGGGAUUAGCUAGUAGGUGGGGUAAUGGCUCACCUAGGCGACGAUCCCUAGCUGGUCUGAGAGGAUGACCAGCCACAUGGGACCUGAGACACGGCCCAGACUCCUACGGGAGGCGGAAGUGGGAAAUAUUGGAAAAUGGGCGCAAUCUGGAGGAAGACAUGCGGCGUGGAGGUAAAAGGCGUACGGGUGGUAAAGUACGUUAAGCGGGGAGACGUUACUCGAAGAAGAAGCCCCGGCUAACUCCGUGCCAGCAGCCGCGGUAAUAC
rnacentral:rRNA from 1 species